CACUCCUGCGGGAGGCAGCAGUGGGGAAUAUUGCACAAUGGGCGCAAGCCUGAUGCAGCGACGCCGCGUGGGGGAUGAAGGCCUUCGGGUUGUAAACUCCUUUCGCUAGGGACGAAGCUUUUUUGUGACGGUACCUAGAUAAGAAGCACCGGCUAACUACGUGCCAGCAGCCGCGGUAAUACGUAGGGUGCGAGCGUUGUCCGGAAUUACUGGGCGUAAAGGGCUCGUAGGUGGUUUGUCGCGUCGUCUGUGAAAUUCUGGGGCUUAACUCCGGGCGUGCAGGCGAUACGGGCAUAACUUGAGUGCUGUAGGGGUAACUGGAAUUCCUGGUGUAGCGGUGAAAUGCGCAGAUAUCAGGAGGAACACCGAUGGCGAAGGCAGGUUACUGGGCAGUUACUGACGCUGAGGAGCGAAAGCAUGGGUAGCGAACAGGAUUAGAAACCCGAGUAGUCCCAUG
rnacentral:rRNA from 1 species